rnacentral:rRNA from 1 species
UACGGAGGGUGCAAGCGUUGCUCGGAAUUACUGGGCGUAAAGCGCGUGUAGGCGGUCUCGUAUGUCUGAUGUGAAAUCCCCGGGCUCAACCCGGGAAGUGCAUUGGAAACUGCGAGACUGGAGUCCCGGAGAGGAAGGUGGAAUUCCAGGUGUAGCGGUGAAAUGCGUAGAUAUCUGGAAGAACACCGGUGGCGAAGGCGGCCUUCUGGACGGUGACUGACGCUGAGACGCGAAGGCCAGGGGAGCAAACGGG